rnacentral:tRNA from 2 species
GCCGAAGUGGCGGAACCGGCAGACGCGCUACAUUCAGGGUGUAGUGGGCUUACGCCCGUGGGAGUUCAAAUCUCCCCUUCGGCACCA